GACAGAGGGUGCAAACGUUGUUCGGAAUUACUGGGCGUAGAGCGUGUGUAGGCGGCUUUGCAAGUCGGAUGUGAAAGCCCCGGGCUCAACCCGGGAAGUGCACUCGAUACUGCAGGGCUAGAGUGUGGGAGAGGUUGGUGGAAUUCUCGGUGUAGAGGUGAAAUUCGUAGAUAUCGAGAGGAACACCGGCGGCGAAGGCGGCCAACUGGACCACUACUGACGCUGAGACACGAAAGCGUGGGGAGCAAACAGG
rnacentral:rRNA from 1 species